UAGCCCAAGUAGAAAUUGUCAAGCGAAAUAUAGGCCCGAGGGGGUGUGAAGGGUAAAAAUUUGCUCGAAUCGUGAGAUGGAAGAAACUUCGCCGUAGGAAAGAGCAGGACGACGAUAAAAAUCUAUGAUGGUGUUGGUGAACGUCACCCAUCCUAUGGCGGCAUUUUCAAAACAAAAACAAAUCGUAUGUCCUAACGAAUAUACGCUAAACGUAUAUUCAUAUUUCCUGCGUGUUUUGAGUGUUUUGUGGCUCCCAUUUUGGUGAAGAAGUGUUUAAUUAUGUAUAAUAAAAACGUUUAAAGAAAAGUAGAGUGUUAUUCUAACAUGCUGAACUAAUUUCAGACAGUUAAAAAUGGACGUAGAAACAGAUAAGCUAGCAGGAGUUCAGAAGGACUAGGUAAGUUGUAUUUCGUUUCUUCAUGUGCUGUGUUUAGUUAUAUUCAUAGAAUAUACUACAGGACAACGAGCGUUUAAUUAAACGUGUAAAACUUCUAUGUUUUAGCAAAUUGGAUAGCCGUACGCUGCAGAUGCAGUGCUUAAAUCAGAAGUACAGGACAGCAUUCUAGAGUGUGAAUAGGAGUGUUUUUAGAAGAACGACGAUUGGAAUCAAUCCGGAACGAAAGAAGAGGGAAUGUAAAACCCCUUUUCAAUGUGCCGCUACGAGUUGAUAAGCAGUUGAUUAAUGUUGUAGGAUGACCGUUGAAGGCUUGCAAAGUGGUCUUGGAUGUUGUUUUCGGUAAGUAUUGUAGCAGUGCAAGAUGAUCAUGUGCCUACUUUAUCGUACUGACUUUUCUUCUUGGCUCGUUUUAGGUUUUAGCUGGCGAUGCUCUUAUACGCAUCAUGUCGAAUGGAUAGCUGCUAAGCAACGUCCUUGGAGGACAUGGCCCCAACUUCUUUCAUACGUGUUCUAACCGUUGCACGUUAGCGCCCAGUAAUGCAAGCGUAUCUGUCGUCAAUUGACAGUAAAAUAGCGAGCGCUUAGAUUACCUUUGCUAGUAUAAUCCUAGAGUCGUGAUCAGAUAAGAUGUAGGUAAAGGAUGGUGUAAAACGUAAAAUGUCCUUAAUUAGUAAGAUUUUUUGUAAAAAGGAUAGAUAGAACAGCACAAUCUUUAAGCAGCAGAAUCUUUACGCAACUUCUAUGUACGCAUUUAGUUGUAAGAAACAAACGAAUCAUAUUUACAUAAAACGAUCUUUGUAUGUAGAACUAACCUCGUUAGCAACGUUAGGAAGAACUGGAAAUGGCAUGCCAAAGCUUCGCCAGGUUGAAAAAAAAAACAUGCGCGUAUGUUAAAAAAGUUAAAAUAUAGUUUAUUACGUAUAGGGCAUAGUAAGGAGUUGUCCUUUCCUACAAAAAAUGUAUAGCUUUAAAAAGAAGAUGCGUUACGUAUUGUACCGAAGGCAUCGUUAAAAGUGAUAAGAAAGUGGGUACAGAUUCAAAUAAAAUACAAAAUCAAAUCAAAUGUACAUAAUCCUU